rnacentral:rRNA from 1 species
UAUCGGAAUUACUGGGCGUAAAGCGUGCGCAGGCGGUUAGUUAAGACAGAUGUGAAAUCCCCGGGCAAACCUGGGAACUGCAUUGGAGACUGGCUAGCUAGAGUAUGGUAGAGGGGGGUAGAAUUCCACGUGUAGCGGUGAAAUGCGUAGAGAUGUGGAGGAAUACCGAUGGCGAAGGCAGCCCCCUGGGCCAAUACUGACGCUCAUGCACGAAAGCAUGGGGAGCAAACAGGAUUAAAC